GGAUGUGAGGGCGAUCUGGCUGCGACAUCUGUCACCCCAUUGAUCGCCAGGGUUGAUUCGGCUGAUCUGGCUGGCUAGGCGGGUGUCCCCUUCCUCCCUCACCGCUCCAUGUGCGUCCCUCCCGAAGCUGCGCGCUCGGUCGAAGAGGACGACCAUCCCCGCUAGAGGAGGACCGUUCUUCGGUCAAGGGUAUACGAGUAGCUGCGCUCCCCUGCUAGAACCUCCAAACAAGCUCUCAAGGUCCAUUUGUAGGAGAACGUAGGGUAGUCAAGCUUCCAAGACUCCAGACACAUCCAAAUGAGGCGCUGCAUGUGGCAGUCUGCCUUUCUUU
rnacentral:snRNA from 1 species